rnacentral:rRNA from 1 species
CGGGAAUUUUGGGCAAUGGGCGAAAGCCUGACCCAGCAACGCCGCGUGAGGGAUGAAGUAUUUCGGUAUGUAAACCUCGAAAGAAUGGGAAGAAUAAAUGACGGUACCAUUUAUAAGCUCCGGCUAACUACGUGCCAGUAGCCGCGGUAAUACGUAGGGAGCAAGCGUUGUUCGGAUUUACUGGGCGUAAAGGGCGUGUAGGCGGCGCGGUAAGUCACUUGUGAAAUCUCUGAGCCUAACUCAGAACGGCCAAGUGAUACUGCUGUGCUAGAGUGCGGAAGAGGCAACCGGAAUUCUUGGUGUAGCGGUGAAAUGCGUAGAUAUCAAGAGGAACACCUGAGGCGAAGGCGGGUUGCUGGGCCGACACUGACGCUGAUGCGCGAAAGCCAGGGGAGCAAACG